CAGCUGUUUGCUUUCCGGCUCUGAGCUCUGCACCCACGAUGGCCUGUGCCGUUUACCCAGCGAGCUCUGCUAGCUGCCUGGCUGGAAUCUGUUCCGGGUUGGGAGUUGUCAUUGGAGAGCACGUUUUAACCCUCUUCCUCGUGGAACAAGGCCCGUACCACGCACCUCUAAGAACAAAGAUGGUACCUAUUCACCCUGACCCAGACUUCUUCGACCCCAGCAAGAUGGAAAGUUGGCAUCAGAGGAGCGGAGAGACUCACGUCAUUCUAAGAGUCAGUACUGACUGCUUAAUGCUCCCGCGAGUUCCUCCAGAAGCAACACCCAAGCACGCAAGUGUUGGAUUUUGUCCAAGAGACCAUGUAAUUUAUGAAGGAAGUGUACGUCAUUCACAUUUUCCAGAAAAGAGGACAAAAAACAGCCAACUGGAGUCAGAAGAGAUCUCACGACAUCUCCACAUUUCCUGAGUAAAACACUGAGACGAGUGGAAAAAUGUGGAACACAAAUAUAUAAUGGAGGAAAACAGUUCUCAACAACAACAACGAAAAAUAAAAGACUUUAGUGGGCAGAUCAAAAAGAUUUAUUUUGUUCCAGGAAAGAAGGGGAAAAAAAAGAAAUCAUGAAAGAGAAAUUGAUCAACAGAAAGAAUUAAAAGUGAAAAGAUAAUUCAUGCAUAAUUAAUGUUCAUGAAAUAUCAGAACAAAUAAAAAAAUCAAAGAUAUCAAAGACAGAAUAGAAAAGACCUUUCUCAAACCUAAUGCCAAAGUAAAUAAUUCGUCAUUGCUUGGCAAAAUUGAUGGGGGAAGAUCCAGACCUAGAUAACUCUAGCAAAAAAGUUUUAAUUAUAAUUUUAAAGGACAAAUCUUACCACCAUCAAAACAGAAAAAAUAAGUGUGUGUGUGUUUACCCACAUAGGAAUAAAAAUGGGCUGUCCACAUCAUUUCUCUACAAUAUAAAAAUGAACAAUAUCUACAUAACAUUGGAGUAAAUUAGUUUUUGAAUAAAAGGAUUUAGGUCCAACCAUAGAGAUCAGAGGUGAACUAUGAUUGCCUUAGGCCAAUAGAAUUAGGUGAAAAUCAAAUAUAAGCCGAUCAAUGUACUACAUUCCUCCAACCACAGAUAUCGGUUCAGAGUGGUCUGGACUACAUGACCAUAAUUGAUCUGGUUUUUCAUGUUAAAAGGAGGCACCUAUAUAUGGGAGUCACCUUUUUGUAACUAUGACAGAACCAAGCUUUAGGGAUAAAACUGACAUCACAGAAGGCAGUGAAGAGACAGGAGAUAACUAGCAUCUUGAUGACUAAUUAAAACACAGAUUUAUCCUACCCUACCGAUGACAGCUUUCAGUUACAUGAGCCAGUAAAUUUCCUUAUUGUCUAAGCCAUUUGAGUUUAUUUUUCUUUUACAUGACAUGGAAAGUAUUCUAAUUGAAAGGCUAGCCAAGGGUCCGGCCCUGUGGCCAAAUAGUUAAGUUUCUGCACUCCACUUCGGCCAUCUAGGGUUUCACUGGUUCAGAUCCUGGGCACGGACAUGGCACUGCUCGUCAGGCCACGCUGAGGUGGUGUCCCACAUGCCACAAC
ensembl:lncRNA